rnacentral:rRNA from 1 species
GACGAACGUUGGCGGCGUGCUUAACACAUGCAAGUCGAACGGAAAGGCCCUGCUUUUGUGGGGUGCUCGAGUGGCGAACGGGUGAGUAACACGUGAGUAACCUGCCCUUGACUUUGGGAUAACUUCAGGAAACUGGGGCUAAUACCGGAUAGGAGCUCCUGCUGCAUGGUGGGGGUUGGAAAGUUUCGGCGGUUGGGGAUGGACUCGCGGCUUAUCAGCUUGUUGGUGGGGUAGUGGCUUACCAAGGCUUUGACGGGUAGCCGGCCUGAGAGGGUGACCGGCCACAUUGGGACUGAGAUACGGCCCAGACUCCUACGGGAGGCAGCAGUGGGGAAUAUUGCACAAUGGGCGGAAGCCUGAUGCAGCAACGCCGCGUGCGGGAUGACGGCCUUCGGGUUGUAAACCGCUUUCGCCUGUGACGAAGCGUGAGUGACGGUAAUGGGUAAAGAAGCACCGGCUAACUACGUGCCAGCAGCCGCGGUGAUACGUAGGGUGCGAGCGUUGUCCGGAUUUAUUGGGCGUAAAGGGCUCGUAGGUGGUUGAUCGCGUCGGAAGUGUAAUCUUGGGGCUUAACCCUGAGCGUGCUUUCGAUACGGGUUGACUUGAGGAAGGUAGGGGAGAAAUGGAAUUCCUGGUGGAGCGGUGGAAUGCGCAGAUAUCAGGAGGAACACCAGUGGCGAAGGCGGUUCUCUGGGCCUUUCCUGACGCUGAGGAGCGAAAGCGUGGGGAGCGAACAGGCUUAGAUACCCUGGUAGUCCACGCUGUAAACGGUGGGUACUAGGUGUGGGGUCCAUUCCACGGGUUCCGUGCCGUAGCUAACGCUUUAAGUACCCCGCCUGGGGAGUACGGCCGCAAGGCUAAAACUCAAAGGAAUUGACGGGGCCCCGCACAAGCGGCGGAGCAUGCGGAUUAAUUCGAUGCAACGCGUAGAACCUUACCUGGGUUUGACAUGGAUCGGGAGUGCUCAGAGAUGGGUGUGCCUCUUAUGGGGUCGGUUCACAGGUGGUGCAUGCCUGUCGUCAGCUCGUGUCGUGAGAUGUUGGGUUAAGUCCCGCAACGAGCGCAACCCUUGUUCACUGUUGCCAGCACGUUAUGGUGGGGACUCAGUGGAGACCGCCGGGGUCAACUCGGAGGAAGGUGGGGAUGACGUCAAGUCCUCAUGCCCCUUAUGUCCAGGGCUUCACGCAUGCUACAAUGGCUGGUACAGAGAGUGGCGAGCCUGUGAGGGUGAGCGAAUCUCGGAAAGCCGGUCUCAGUUCGGAUUGGGGUCUGCAACUCGACCUCAUGAAGUCGGAGUCGCUAGUAAUCGCAGAUCAGCAACGCUGCGGUGAAUACGUUCCCGGGGCU